rnacentral:rRNA from 1 species
GACAGAGGAUGCAAGCGUUAUCCGGAAUCAUUGGGUUUAAAGGGUCCGUAGGCGGUUUAGUAAGUCAGUGGUGAAAGCCCAUCGCUCAACGGUGGAACGGCCAUUGAUACUGCUAGACUUGAAUUAUUAGGAAGUAACUAGAAUAUGUAGUGUAGCGGUGAAAUGCUUAGAGAUUACAUGGAAUACCAAUUGCGAAGGCAGGUUACUACUAAUGGAUUGACGCUGAUGGACGAAAGCGUGGGUAGCGAACAGG